CAAAGGUGAUCAGAGACUUUUUGACGACGCUGAGUUUGUCCGGCGCGUGAUCAAAGAGCGUGUCAAAGGCAUCGCGCUCAAAUCUUCCCAUCAUCAUCUCUGUCGUAGUCGUCAGCUCCUCUGUAACGUGAGUCGUCUGCAGAAGGCCUUCGCGUUUCCGUACAACCACCACUUGUACAGACACAUGUUCAGGCAGUCGAAUUGGAGCCCGGAAAUGCAUUGCCAAAGCUACCAGAAGGUGAAGAAUGGAAAUCAAGUUCUUGCCGUGGAUUGAGUCAACGUUCCACUUGAUUGUCCAGCCAUGGGGUCGAAGUAAAUCAUGGACAGCUUCCAGGACCGUCUGCAACUUUUGUUUUUGACCAAUCUCAGACUGAGUCACUUCUGCCACAUUCAGUUUACGGUCAGCCAAUUUUUCUAGUAGCUUCUGCAGCACCUGCCCAUCAUAAAGGUCCUCUUCAAGCUGUUUAACAAUGAUUCUCUCCUCCACCAGCACAUCGUUAAUCCAGUCAAUUAGAACCUUGAUCAGUUCUUUGAACUUAGGGUCUUCUUUUGAGUUAGGAUCAAUCAUAGUGCGUUCCUCGUUCUCCUCUAAGAGAGUAUCCUCUGGAUGGAUGUCCACAGCGCUUGGGUUCAUUGGUGCAUUGAUAGCAUUUUUACCUUCUUCUUGCAGGUCACUCACUCCUUUUUUGCGCCGCUUACACAGGAGUCCUGCCAUGUCGCCCCUUCCAGCACCCAGAGGUCUGUC
rnacentral:lncRNA from 1 species